rnacentral:rRNA from 1 species
CUGGCUCAGGAUGAACGCUGGCGGCGUGCUUAACACAUGCAAGUCGAACGGAGUUUUAAACGGAAGUCCUCGGAUGGAAGUUUAGAAACGUUAGUGGCGGACGGGUGAGUAACGCGUGAGUAACCUGCCUCAUACAGGGGGAUAACAGUCGGAAACGAUUGCUAAAACCGCAUAACAUAGCGAAACCGCAUGAUUUUGCUAUCAAAUAUUUAUAGGUAUGAGAUGGGCCCGCGUCUGAUUAGCUAGUUGGUGGGGUAAUGGCCUACCAAGGCGACGAUCAGUAGCCGGCUUGAGAGAGUGACCGGCCACAUUGGGACUGAGACACGGCCCAAACUCCUACGGGAGGCAGCAGUGGGGAAUAUUGGACAAUGGGGGAAACCCUGAUCCAGCCGACGCCGCGUGAGUGAAGAAGUAUUUCGGUAUGUAAAGCUCUAUCAGCAGGGAAGAUAAUGACAGUACCUGACUAAGAAGCCCCGGCUAACUACGUGCCAGCCGCCGC